CAUUUUUUUAUGGAAUAUGUUGAGCAAACCUGGAGAAGCUUCAGCUCAAGAUAUUAUUGUUGUCAUUGCUGUGGAUCUUUACCUGAUACACUGACUUGGCUCGGGACCAGCACUCCUGCUGUUGGACAGAAAGACAUCAACUUGAGAUAUGACUGCACUAUGCUGUUGCUGGUGACUCCAGUUAAUUCUACAAGACAUGCUGUGACAACAGGAGAGAUGAGUCCUCCGUCACAGAUGGUGUGGUCAGUGAAGAUGGUCGCCUGUAGGUUCAAGCUCAUUGCAUCUCCAACCCACAUCCACUGCUACUGUACUUAAGGGAAGUUAAAGACUUUCUUCUGCACCUACAUUUGGAUGACCUCGAUCCAUGACAGUCAUUCAGGCAGUGAUGCCUGGACUGGAAACAAGCAUCCUUAAAAUAAUACAACAUUCCAGCUCAUGUGUUGGAAUGCAAAACAAAUGUGUUGUUUAAAUUAGAGACUGCACUUGUGACAGAACAAUAAAUAUUUUAUUUUGAUUAUAUAAGUAAUGUAAGUACAAAACAAACUGUGGUAGGCC
ensembl:lncRNA